UUUUAGAGGAGGGAAGGAAGGUGGAAGAUGAGACAGGAGAGAAAGGCACAGAAUCCAGAAAUGCCGGCAGCCAGUGGUCCCAGCCAGGCCUGCCUCCUGUGGACAGGUUCAUCUGAUCUUCACAAACUGCUAUUGCUCUCUUGAUGUACAUUAAAGAGAUCUUUAAUUUCUAAAGAAUUAGUUUAGGAAGUCCUCACCAGAGCAAUCAGGCGGGAGAAAAAAAUAAAAGGCAUCCAGAUUGGAAAAGAGGAAGUCAAAUUAUCCCUGUUCAUUGAUGAUAUGAUGUUACAUCUAGAAAACCCUAAAGACUCCACAAAAAAAAAUCCUUAGGUUUGAUAAAUAAAUUCAGUAAAGUUUCAGGAUACAAAAAAAUUAAUGUACAGAAAUCAGUAGUGUUUCUAUACACUGAUAAGAAUCUAGCUGAGGACCAAAUCAAGAAAGCAAUUCCAUUUACAAUAGCUACAACAGCAACAACAACAAAACUAAACAAAACCUAGAAAUAUGCUUUACCAAGGAAAUGAAAGAUCUCUAUAAGGAGGACUACAAAACACUGAUUAAAGAAAUUGUACAAGACUCAAACAAAUAAAGCAUCCCAUGCUCAUGGAUUAGAAGAAUCAAUAUUGUUAAAAUGACCAUACUGCCCAAAGCAAUCCACCGACUCAAUGCAACCCCUAUCAAAUUAUGAAUGUUGUUUUUCAGAGUCAGAAAAAACAAUACCAAAAUUCAUAUGGAAUCAAAAAAGAGCCUGAAUCAUCAAAAAACCUCACCAAAAAGAACAAAGCUGAAGGCAACAUAUUGUCUGACUUCAAAUUAUAUUACAAGGCUGUAGUAACCAAAACAGCAUGGCACUGCUAUAAAAACAGACACAUGGAUCAAUGGAACAGAAUAAAAAGCCUAGAAAUAAAGCCACCCUCUUACAAUCAACUGAUCUUCAACAAAGUUGACAAAAAUAUACACUGGGGAAAGAACAUUCUAUUCAAUAAAUGAUGCUGUGAAAAUUGGAUAGUCAUGCAGAAGAAGGAAACUAGAUGCAUACCUCUCACCAUAUAUAAAAAUUAACUCAAGAUGGAUUGAAGACCUAAACAUAAGUUGAAACUGUAAAAAUCCUAGAAGAAAACCUAUGAAAAACUCUUCUGGACAUUGGCCUAGGCAAAGAAUUUACGACCAGGUCCUCAAACAAACAAAACAACAACAAGAAUAACAAAACCAAAAAUAAAGAAGAUGUAAUUAAACUAAAAACUUCUGCACAGCAGAAGAAACAAUCAACAGAGUAAACAGACAACCUGUAGAAUGGGAAACAAUAUUUGCACACUAUGCAUCUUACAAAGGGCUAAUAUCUAGGAUCUGUAAGGCACUCAAACAACUCAACAAGAAAACCCCAUUAAAAAUUGGGCAAAGGACAUGAGCAGACCUUUUUUGAAAGAAGACAUACAAGCAGCCAACAAACAUAUGAAAACACUGCUCAACAUCACUAAUCAUCAGAGAAAUGCAAAUUAAAACCACAAUGAGACGCCAUCUUACACCAUCAGAAUGGCUAUUAUUAAAAAGUCAAAAAACAACAGAUAUUGGCAAGGAUGUGGAAAAAAGAGUAUACUUACACACUGUUGGUGGGAAUGUAAAUUAGUACAACCUUUAUGGGAAAUAAUAUGGAGAUUUCUUAAAGAACUAAAAAUAGAACUAUCUUUCAAUCCAGCAACUGAGUAUCUACCCAAAGGGAAAGAAAUAAUUAUAUUAAAAUGAUACCUGCACUCAUAUGUUUAUUGUAACACUAUUCACAAUAGGAAAGAUAUGGAAUCAACUUAAGUGUCCAUUAAUGGAGGACUAGAUAAAGAAAAUGUUAUACACACACACACCCACACACACAAACACACCCACACACACCCCACGGAAUACUACUCAGCCAUCAAAAAGAAUGAAAUCAUGUCUUUUGCAGCAACAUACAUGGAACUGGAGGCCAUUACCCUAAGUGAAAUAACUCAAACAGAAAAUCAAAUGCCACAUGUUCUCACUUAUAAGUGAGAGCUGAACAAUGGGUACCCAUGGAUGUAUAGAGUGGAAUAAUAGACACCAAAGGCUACAAAAGGUGGGAAAGUUGGGAGGGGAUUGAGGGAUGGAAAAUUCCUAUUGGGUACAAUGUUCACUAUUCAGGUGAUGGGUACACUAAAAGACCAGGUGUCACCACUAUGCAAUAUAUGUAUAUAAAAA
rnacentral:lncRNA from 1 species